AAUUAACGGUUUUUUCAUGAAAUGCCCCCGAGGUUUCACGAAAUUCACCAAAUACCCCUGCGCGUUUCAAAAUACAUAAUAUACCCCUAUGUAAACAUAAAGUGCAUCAAAUACCCUUGGAUUUAACGGCCGUUAGUGCUCCGUUAGUAUUUAUUUACGUUUAUACCCUUAUUUACCUAUAUUCUACAUUUUAACUUUAAAAAAAAAAACUCUUUUCUUCUCUCUCCUCUCAUCUCCUCUGUUCUUUCUUACCCAUCUUCAAUCUCACCCCCAAUUCAUCAAUAGCCAUUGAUUCACCUCAAAUUACCCAGAAAUACAAGUCUCUUCUUCCGGUGAUUUGGUAGUGCAGGUGGUAGGGAGUCCGAAGAAUCCACCAUUGCCGCCGACGAAGGUUGAAGGCUGGCGGCGAGAGGAGAUCGAGGAAGGAAGGAGAAGACGGCGCGGCGGCAGCUAAGGAAGGAGAAGACGACGGCGCCUUCUCAAUUCUCUCUCCUCGAACCACCUCCUUCUCCCUACCAAACUCCAGACGCUAAAACUUCUUCAAUUAUCACAAAAAUGGCGGCUUCAUCCAAUUCUUCUCUAAUGUGGUUCCGAAAGGGAUUCUGAAUCCACGGUAACCCGACUCUUGAACAAGCUGCUACAGAAUCGAAUUUUGUGUACCCAAUUUUUGUGAUUGACCCGUAAUAUAUGGACCCUGACCCGAAUGCUUUCAGCGAGGAAGCUUGUUUAAUGGACGAUUGGCAAGCUUGCGAAGAUUGGGUUGACGAUCACGGAAAACCUAAUCUCGUGUUCAACUCUAAUCAAUUUGGAAAAUCACAAGUCCAGUUGGCAGGGCAGCACCCAAUCUGAUGAUCUCUGGUUUUGUCAUUUUAUUAUGGCCAUCUGAUCUUGGUGCUGCUAAUGAACUUCUUGGUGCCAACCAACUGCUGUCUCCACAAGCUCAUGUCACACCAGUUCAAUUUGCUGCUCUUUGUCUCUUGGGCCUAAGGCAAGCUAAGAAACUGACAUUUUUCAUGCAUUUUUAGAUUUUGAUGUAAAGUGUAAACACAAAAUUACUGAUAGCAUACACAGUUGGUUCAACGAGAACACUAAAUUUGUAAGAAUGAUUAUUUUUAUUGUGAUGAAGCCCACGAAGAUCAUAUCUUAUGUAAGCAGGGCAAUGCCUUGUAGUACAAGAGUGAUUGUAAAUGUUCAUUGCAAGGGUAUUAUUAUUCAGAGUAUUUGUAAAGCUACUAUGCAAAUUAAUCAGCUUUUUAUGGAAUAUAAUCCCUGUUUAUUGCUGGAAA